rnacentral:tRNA from 1 species
AGGGCUAUAGUUAAGUAUAACAUUUGGUUUGCAUCUAAAAAGUAUUGAAUCUAAUUCAAUUAGCCUUA